rnacentral:rRNA from 1 species
AGUGAACGCUGGCGGUAGGCCUAACAUAUGCAAGUCGAACGGCAGCACAGUAAGAGCUUGCUCUUACGGGUGGCGAGUGGCGGACGGGUGAGGAAUACAUCGGAAUCUACUUUUUCGUGGGGGAUAACGUAGGGAAACUUACGCUAAUACCGCAUACGACCUACGGGUGAAAGCAGGGGAUCUUCGGACCUUGCGCGAUUGAAUGAGCCGAUGUCGGAUUAGCUAGUUGGCGGGGUAAAGGCCCACCAAGGCGACGAUCCGUAGCUGGUCUGAGAGGAUGAUCAGCCACACUGGAACUGAGACACGGUCCAGACUCCUACGGGAGGCAGCAGUGGGGAAUAUUGGACAAUGGGCGCAAGCCUGAUCCAGACAUACCGCGUGGGUGAAGAAGGCCUUCGGGUUGUAAAGCCCUUUUGUUGGGAAAGAAAAGCAGCAGGUUAAUACCCCGCUGUUCUGACGGUACCCAAAGAAUAAGCACCGGCUAACUUCGUG